GUGGGGAAUAUUGGACAAUGGGCGAAAGCCUGAUCCAGCCAUGCCGCGUGAGUGAUGAAGGCCUUAGGGUCGUAAAGCUCUGUUGAAUGGGAAGAAAAAAAUGACGGUACCAUUCGAGGAAGGACCGGCUAACUUCGUGCCAGCAGCCGCGGUAAUACGAGGGGUCCUAGCGUUGUUCGGAAUCAUUGGGCGUAAAGGGGGUGUAGGUGGCCAUGUAAGUCAGGUGUGAAAGCCCCGGGCUCAACCCGGGAAGUGCACUUGAUACUGCGUGGCUUGAGUACCGAAGAGGGUAGUGGAAUUCCAGGUGUAGUGGUGAAAUACGUAGAUAUCUGGAGGAACACCGGUGGCGAAGGCGGCUACCUGGUCGAGUACUGACACUGAGACACGAAAGCAUGGGGAUCAAACAGGAUUAGAUACCCGGGUAGUCC
rnacentral:rRNA from 1 species